rnacentral:rRNA from 1 species
UACAGAGGGGGCAAGCGUUGUUCGGAAUUACUGGGCGUAAAGCGCACGUAGGCGGCUUUGUAAGUUAGAGGUGAAAGCCUGGGGCUCAACUCCAGAACUGCCUUUAAGACUGCAUCGCUUGAAUCAUGGAGAGGCGGGUGGAAUUCCGAGUGUAGAGGUGAAAUUCGUAGAUAUUCGGAAGAACACCAGUGGCGAAGGCGGCCCGCUGGACAUGUAUUGACGCUGAGGUGCGAAAGCGUGGGGAGCAAACAGGG